GACGAACGCUGGCGGCGUGCCUAAUACAUGCAAGUAGAACGCUGAAGAGAGGAGCUUGCUCUUCUUGGAUGAGUUGCGAACGGGUGAGUAACGCGUAGGUAACCUGCCUUGUAGCGGGGGAUAACUAUUGGAAACGAUAGCUAAUACAGCAUAACAAUGGAUGACACAUGUCAUUUAUUUGAAAGGGGCAAUUGCUCCACUACAAGAUGGACCUGCGUUGUAUUAGCUAGUAGGUGAGGUAAUGGCUCACCUAGGCGACGAUACAUAGCCGACCUGAGAGGGUGAUCGGCCACACUGGGACUGAGACACGGCCCAGACUCCUACGGGAGGCAGCAGUAGGGAAUCUUCGGCAAUGGGGGCAACCCUGACCGAGCAACGCCGCGUGAGUGAAGAAGGUUUUCGGAUCGUAAAGCUCUGUUGUAAGUCAAGAACGGGUGUGAGAGUGGAAAGUUCACACUGUGACGGUAGCUUACCAGAAAGGGACGGCUAACUACGUG
rnacentral:rRNA from 1 species